rnacentral:lncRNA from 1 species
GGAACCCGAGGCCUACAGAGGAAGAGUCCAGCCAGUCCACAAACACCCACUGGGCACCAGCCAGGUGCUGGGGACACUGGGAUGAAUGUGACCAGCUCUGAAGAGGCUCCUCAUCAGGCACUGACAGGGCACAUCUGGACAGAGGAGGGGCUCAGUCUGCCUCUGCAGAGUCCCCAGCAAGAGGAAGAAGGCUCCAAUUGCAGCAGAGUGGACUUCAAUUAGUCUCAAGAAAGAACUUCCUGCAGAGGCAUUAAGCAUGAACAGCAUACAGAGAAGGGGGGCAUGAUGAGGGCAACUGUAGCAUCUCCUCUGAAAUACAGGAUGCUGUCUCAUUCAUUAUGUCAUUUUACUUUCAAACCAGCCUGGAAGGUAAUCCCAGGAAGUCCUUCCUACAAAUGCAUUUUAUAGGAGAAACAACUCGUGCUCAAAGAGAUAAAAUGAUUCUUCCAGGGUCAUCCUGCCAGUAAGUGACAAAGCCAGGAUCAACAUAAGUUUUCUGUCUUCUGUAUGGUAGACACGUUGGACAGUGAUACCUGGACUUGAGCAAGCCCUGAGAAUGACCUUGUAUGGCAGGCGCACCUCAAUGCAGUUUGGUUCUAAGCUAAGGAAUCUGGGAGUAGCCAACCCGGAGAUCCACUCCUUAUCUAUGAGGAACAUCUGAGCUCUUGGCCCAUCCUAUGGAACUUGCGGGCCAAACAGAGGAUUGAGGUCUGUGGUUUGGGGUAAAUGGAGGAGAUGAGGAAACUGAGGCUCCGAGAAGACACGCAGGGAGCAGCUGCAUGCUGGAACCCAGGUUAACUGGAUUACCAAGUCUUCCCACUCCCCUCAUCUCUCCAGGCAGGAAGGUCCUGGGGGGAGGAAGCAGCCUCGGAAGGAAUGAGCUCCUUGUCCUGGGGAUGUGCAAGUAUUGUCUUGGGACACUGUGGGAGGUAGGCUGCAGAGGGCAGCCAGGUGGCUCUCAAACUGAAAUCACCAGGGGAGCUUCAUCAACUACUGAUGCCUGGGUCAUGCCCCAGAGAUUGUGGGGCCUGCAGGACUUUUAAAAGUUUCCCAGAUGAUUCUAAUGUGAAACAAAGUUUGAAAGCCAUGGGCUUGGAUGCCCACUGCUGCCCUUCCCACCUCUGAAACUCUCCUGCCACACGCCUUUCUAAGGAAAGAAGGGAUUUAUUACCCUGACCCCAUUUUACAAAAUGGGCAGAAGCCAAGCAAAAUAUAAGGGUGUCCUCAAGGCCCCACAGCCAGCAACAAAUCGAGGCAGCAUGAGGGGUCCCCUGAUUUCAGACUGCCCCUGGGGUGAGCUUCUUUAAGACACUUGGGGGUUCCAGCUCCCUUGUCAGUGGGAGAGAAGUUUCUCUUUGAGCCUCCUGGGUGAGAGAGUGAGACAUUCUUCGUGGCAUUUUUUUUAAAGAGUCCACUCGUUCAAAAGCUAAACAGCUGCAGGAUUAACGCUGGAAGACCCCCUCUGCUUGCUGGUGUGCCUUGGGAGCAAGAAGAUAAAAGAACUCAAAGCAGGCCUGUUUAUCCUUUUCUGCAGGAGAUUUGGUCACAAGCCUGGGAAGAGCUGAGCCUGUCAGACCAGCAGCCCACACUUCCUCCCCACCUGCCUUUCCGCCUUCCUCAUGCCCUGAAAGCAGAAUGUCACAGAUGGAGAGAUGGUGUGGGUUGGUGGGAAGUGAGAGGCCUGUGGAGUCCACUGGUCCUGGGGUCUGCCCAAGCUCUCCUCCUUGCCAGCUACCUUUGGAGAGGAGCUACUCCUCUCUCAGCUCAUUCAGUGCUGAUCUCACAGAGGUCCAAAGUCAGCAACAUGGGCACCACCUCCAGGAAGGCUUCCCUGACUCCCCUCCCCACCCAGCGCCGGGCAACCCCAGGCCCCUGGCCUUCCCUGUCACAUUCUGUGUUGUCACUGCUUCUGUGUCCUCCCAACCCUACCAGGCUGUUCAUUCAUUCAUUCCACGGAGCAGCUGCCCUUUGCCUGGGAUUCAUUCCAAACGCCUUUCCUGAGCACCUGUUUUCUCUAAGAUCCUCUGUGAGGUGCUGGAGAUACAGAUCAUAACAGCUAACCUGCACUGAGUGCUCAUUAUGUGCUGGGCAUUUUUUUGAGUGCUUUACACGUAUAAUUCAUUUCACCCUCACAACUCUAUGAUGAAGAUGCUGUAAUUAUCCCCAUUUUACAUAUGGGGAAACUAAAGCCCAAAGAGGUUAAAUCACUUGCCCAAGUCAUUUAGCCCUACCCUGUGCCACCAGCCACAGAUACUGAUGGGACCGGCCCCUGCCUCAGGAGCCUGCUUCUCACAAUUUGGAAGUUUUGCAUCUGUGUGUUUCCUUGUCUAAUGCUGUUUCCCCCACAGACCAGAAUCUCCAACCAUGUUACAUUUCGGUUGGAUGUGUGUGUGAGCAGCACCAAAUAAAUGCUGCUUCCCUUUAAGGAAGAACUCACACUCUCUGCCCAGCAUCUGCUAGCUGGACGCCAGACGGCUUCUCCCACCUGGGUCAUUUCUUCUGCGUAGGCCUGAGAAGAAAACCCAAGUCCCCAGAUAUCCCAGUCCUGCUCCCUCCCCUGAACCUAGCUCGGGACCCUUCCAGGCCAACAGCACCUGCUUACACACCACUGUUCACAGGGAAGGUGGUGGGAACUGUGAAUCUGCAAACCCCAGCUAAGUCC